CUGCCAUAAAAUUUCCCGAGGUGCUUUGCUCGCUUUUUUUUUAGUUGUUGAAGAAGAAGAAAGAAGGCGGAUUUUCAUCAAGACUAAUGAAAGCAGCAGCAGCGCUGGCAGUAGUGCUGAGUACAGCUUUAAAUGUAAGUAGUUUGUUUUUAUUUUUUUAAUUGAACAUCUAUUAAAAUACAUGACGGUAACGGAGCCACCAGAAUUUGUAGGACCAGCUAAAGCUAAAGCUUAGAGCUAAUCUGUUGAUACAAGACGUUCAGCAACAUUAAAAGCCUUCAUAAAAAUGUCACAAUUUUUUAUUUUAACCUACAUCUUAUUGUAACUGUGCUGAUAGCCGUGUCCCUCACAAAUCCGAUCAAUUUAUUCCCAUGCAGUUUAUUACAAAUGAUUAGAACUGUCAAAGCUUAAUGCAGCUGAAGAAAUAACAUCAGUCCAGCUGUACUGGGCUGUCAAUACUGCAAACGUUUUGUUUGAAUACUCAAUAACGUAUAGGUAAUUUACAGUACAGUAUAAUAAGGUUUCAAGUAUAAUUCACUUGAAGAACAAUACCGGCGUAAUUAUACAGAACAGUCAUUUUGCCUGUUGACAUAACAGAAAUAUGUUUUACACGUCAUUUUGUUCAAGGCAGCAGGGAGCAUACAGAGGAGUUGAUAAAACUCCGUGGGCAAAAUUACCACCUCUUUAUCAGGGCCAAAAACACUGCCGCAGUCGGAUGGAGAACAAUCCUGCAAAAAACGGGCCUGGAGGGUGAAGUUGAGCCACAACAGGCCAAAAAAGAGUGGGACAACUUGAAAAAAAUUACAAAGAAUGCAAAGAUCCAGGGACAGGGCAGGGGGGUCAGUGUAUAUAAAAGGUAUUGUUGUCUGUGUGUUCUUAAAGUCUUUUAACCUUUUACAUUAUCUGUUUCAUCACUUCUUUACAAUUUAAGUAAACUUAGAACAACU